GACGAAGGGGGCUAGCGUUGAUCGGAUUUACUGGGCGUAAAGGGCGCGUAGGCGGAUUUUUAAGUCGGGGGUGAAAUCCCGGAGCUCAACUCCGGAACUGCCUUCGAUACUGAAAGUCUGGAGCACGGUAGAGGUGAGUGGAAUUCCGAGUGUAGAGGUGAAAUUCGUAGAUAUUCGGAGGAACACCAGUGGCGAAGGCGGCUCACUGGACCGUUGCUGACGCUGAGGAGCGAAAGCGUGGGGAGCAAACAGG
rnacentral:rRNA from 1 species